rnacentral:rRNA from 1 species
CAGCCGUAAACUAUGCGCGUUAGGUGUAUCGGUGACCACGAGUUACCGAGGUGCCGAAGGGAAACCGUGAAACGUGCCGCCUGGGAAGUACGGUCGCAAGGCUGAAACUUAAAGGAAUUGGCGGGGGGAGCACCACAACGGGUGGAGCCUGCGGUUUAAUUGGACUCAACGCCGGGAAGCUCACCGGAUAAGACAGCGGAAUGAUUGCCGGGCUGAAGACUCUGCAUGACUAGCUGAGAGGAGGUGCUGGCGUAGACGUCU